rnacentral:snRNA from 1 species
UUGCUUUCGCAGCAUAUAUGCUAAAAUUGGAGCAAUACAGAAAAGAUUAGCAUGACCCCUGUGCAAUGAUGACAUGCAAAUUCAUGAAGCGUUCCAUAUUUUU